CGCCUGGGGAGUGCGGCCGCAAGGCUAAAACUCAAAGGAAUUGACGGGGCCCCGCACAAGCGGCGGAGCAUGCGGAUUAAUUCGAUGCAACGCGUAGAACCUUACCUGGGUUUGACAUGGAUCGGGAGUGCUCAGAGAUGGGUGUGCCUCUUUUGGGGUCGGUCCACAGGUGGUGCAUGGCUGUCGUCAGCUCGUGUCGUGAGAUGUUGGGUUAAGUCCCGCAACGAGCGCAACCCUUGUUCACUGUUGCCAGCACGUUAUGGUGGGGACUCAGUGGAGACCGCCGGGGUCAACUCGGAGGAAGGUGGGGAUGACGUCAAGUCAUCAUGCCCCUUAUGUCCAGGGCUUCACGCAUGCUACAAUGGCUGGUACAGAGAGUGGCGAGCCUGUGAGGGUGAGCGAAUCUCGGAAAGCCGGUCUCAGUUCGGAUUGGGGUCUGCAACUCGACCUCAUGAAGUCGGAGUCGCUAGUAAUCGCAGAUCAGCAACGCUGCGGUGAAUACGUUCCCGGGGCUUGUACACACCGCCCGUCAAGUCAUGAAAGUUGGUAACACCCGAAGCCGGUGGCCUAACCGUUGUGGGGGAGCCGUCGAAGGUGGGACUGGUGAUUAGGACUAAGUCGUAACAAGGUAACCGUA
rnacentral:rRNA from 1 species